GCCUAAAGCGUCCGUAGCCUGUUCUACAAGUUUCCGGUUAAAUCCAUUAGCUCAACUAAUGGGCCGCCGAAAAUACUGUGGAACUAGGGAGUGGGAGAGGUAGACGGUAUUCGGUAGGAAGGGGUAAAAUCCUUUGAUCUAUCGAGGACCACCUGUGGCGAAGGCGGUCUACCAGAACACGUUCGACGGUGAGGGAUGAAAGCUGGGGGAGCAAACCGGAUUAGAUACCCGGGUAGUCCCAGCUGUAAACUAUGCAAACUCAGUGAUGCAUUGGCUUGUGGCCAGUGCAGUGCCGCAGAGAAGUCGUUAAGUUUGCCGCCUGGGAAGUACGUACGCAAGUAUGAAACUUAAAGGAAUUGGCGGGGGAGCACCACAAGGGGUGAAGCCUGCGGUUUAAUUGGAGUCAACGCCAGAAAUCUUACCCGGAGAGACAGCAGGAUGAAGGUCAAGCUGAAGACUUUACCAGACAAGCUGAGAAGUGGUGCAUGGCCGUCGCCAGCUCGUGCCGUGAGGUGUCCUGUUAAGUCAGGUAACGAGCGAGAUCCUUGCCUCUAGUUGCCACCAUUACUCUCAGGAGUAGUGGGGCGAAUUAGCGGGACUGCCGUAGUUAAUACGGAGGAAGGAGAGGGCCACGGCAGGUCAGUAUGCCCCGAA
rnacentral:rRNA from 1 species